UGCUACAUGGAUGAUUGUUUUUCCAAGGC
rnacentral:piRNA from 1 species